rnacentral:rRNA from 1 species
UACGUAGGGUGCAAGCGUUAAUCGGAAUUACUGGGCGUAAAGCGUGCGCAGGCGGCUAUGCAAGACAGAUGUGAAAUCCCCGGGCUCAACCUGGGAACUGCAUUUGUGACUGCAUGGCUAGAGUACGGGUAGAGGGGGAUGGAAUUCCGCGUGUAAGCAGUGAAAUCGUAGAUAUGCGGAGGAACACCGAUGGCGAAGGCAAUCCCCUGGACCUGUACUGACGCUCAUGCACGAAAGCGUGGGGAGCAAACAGG